rnacentral:rRNA from 1 species
GUGGGGUAACCUUUUUGGAGCCAGCCGCCUAAGGUGGGACAGAUGAUUGGGGUGAAGUCGUAACAAGGUAGCCGUAUCGGAAGGUGCGGCUGGAUCACCUCCUUUCUAUGGAGA